rfam:Schistosoma mattheei strain Denwood, Zambia genome assembly, scaffold: SMTD_scaffold0001812
AUUCAGAUGACUAGUCCGAAAUAAGACAAAACGCGUGUCCUGAAU